UACAGAGGGUGCGAGCGUUACUCGGAAUCACUGGGCGUAAAGCGCACGUAGGCGGAUUGUUAAGUCAGGGGUGAAAUCCUGGAGCUCAACUCCAGAACUGCCUUUGAUACUGGCGAUCUCGAGUCCGGGAGAGGUGAGUGGAACUGCGAGUGUAGAGGUGAAAUUCGUAGAUAUUCGCAAGAACACCAGUGGCGAAGGCGGCUCACUGGCCCGGUACUGACGCUGAGGUGCGAAAGCGUGGGGAGCAAACAGG
rnacentral:rRNA from 1 species